rnacentral:rRNA from 1 species
GCACAAGCGGUGGAGCAUGUGGUUUAAUUCGACGCAACGCGAAGAACCUUACCUGGGCUCGAAAUGUUAUGGACCGGAGUGGAAACAUUCCUUCCCCGCAAGGGGCCGUAAUAUAGGUGCUGCAUGGCUGUCGUCAGCUCGUGUCGUGAGAUGUUGGGUUAAGUCCCGCAACGAGCGCAACCCUUAUCUCCAGUUGCUACCAUUUAGUUGAGCACUCUGGCGAAACCGCCUCGGAUAACGGGGAGGAAGGUGGGGAUGACGUCAAGUCCUCAUGGCCUUUAUGUCCAGGGCUACACACGUGCUACAAUGGCCGGUACAAACCGUCGCAAACCCGUGAGGGGGAGCUAAUCGGAAAAAGCCGGCCUCAGUUCGGAUUGGAGUCUGCAACUCGACUCCAUGAAGCUGGAAUCGCUAGUAAUCGUGGAUCAGCAUGCCACGGUGAAUACGUUCCCGGGC